CGGUAAUACGGAGGGUGCAAGCGUUAUCCGGAUUCACUGGGUUUAAAGGGUGCGUAGGAGGGCAGGUAAGUCAGUGGUGAAAUCUUCGAGCUUAACUCGGAAACUGCCGUUGAUACUAUCUGUCUUGAAUACCGUGGAGAUGAGCGGAAUAUGUCAUGUAGCGGUGAGAUGCUUAGAUAUGACAUAGAACACCAAUUGCGAAGGCAGCUCGUUACACGAAUAUUGACUCUGAGGCACGAAAGCGUGGGGAUCAAACAGGAUUAGAUACCCUGGUAGUCCACGCCCUAAACGAUGGAUACUCGACAUACGCGAUACACUGUGUGUGUCUGAGCGAAAGCAUUAAGUAUCCCACCUGGGAAGUACGACCGCAAGGUUGAA
rnacentral:rRNA from 1 species